CCUACGGGGGGCUGCAGUGGGGAAUAUUGGACAAUGGGGGGAACCCUGAUCCAGCCAUGCCGCGUGUGUGAAGAAGGCCCUCGGGUUGUAAAGCACUUUCAGUGAGGAAGAACGCCUGGUGGUUAAUACCCAUCAGGAAAGACAUCACUCACAGAAGAAGCACCGGCUAACUCCGUGGCAGCAGCCGCGGUAAUACGGAGGGUGCGAGCGUUAAUCGGAGUUACUGGGCGUAAAGCGCGCGUAGGUGGCUUGAUAAGCCGGUUGUGAAAGCCCCGGGCUCAACCUGGGAACGGCAUCCGGAACUGUCAAGCUAGAGUGCAGGAGAGGAAGGUAGAAUUCCCGGUGUAGCGGUGAAAUGCGUAGAGAUCGGGAGGAAUACCAGUGGCGAAGGCGGCCUUCUGGACUGACACUGACACUGAGGUGCGAAAGCGUGGGUAGCAAACAGGAUUAGAUACCCCGGUAGUC
rnacentral:rRNA from 1 species